UACGGGGGGGCAAGCGUUGUUCGGAAUUACUGGGCGUAAAGGGCUUGUAGGUGGCCAACUAAGUCAGACGUGAAAUCCCUCGGCUUAACCGGGGAACUGCGUCUGAUACUGGAUGGCUUGAGUUUGGGAGAGGGAUGCGGAAUUCCAGGUGUAGCGGUGAAAUGCGUAGAUAUCGAGAGGAACACCUGCGGCGAAGGCGGGUUGCUGGGCCGACACUGACGCUGAUGCGCGAAAGCCAGGGGAGCGAACGGG
rnacentral:rRNA from 1 species